rnacentral:lncRNA from 1 species
UGUACUCUCUCUCUACAAACACACUCUCUCUCCUUUCUCUUCUCUCUCUACAUACAUACCCUUUCUUCUCCAUCACCAUAAACAAUCACCCACCACCUCACUGCCACCACCCCCUCACCACCAAUAGCCACUGCCUCACCAACCACCUGCCACCGUUACACCGCCCAAUCGCCACCGCUUGUCAGAUUCCAAACCAUCAGAAGUAAACUGAUGGGUAAUUUGUGAAUUAGUCUCUUCAUCUUCAAGACCAUCAGAAGAAGAUGCACAACAAACAAAACAUAAAUCUGAAAUCACUUUUUCCCCAAAUCCCAUCAUAAAACAGAAAGCCGAAACUAACAACAAACUCUUCACCACUUCACCUUUAAAAUCAUCACAAUCAACCUAGGGUUAGGGCUAAUCUCAGUUCAAUCGCCGUUUGGAUCUGAGCAAAACAAGGAUGCUCAAGAAGAAGACACAAGUUUAUCGGAGAUUGGUACUUAUCGAGGCCCCAAAAUAAAGAGCACGAUACCUAUCCAUCAAAGAGUUCAUCUUUGUGAUCGACAUCAAAGGCUCCAGAAGCUAUUACAUUAACUGUAUUUUUCCAACAAGUUUGGAUCUGAGAUCUGAGAUCUUAGGCGGGUGACGGUAGCAGGUGGUGGUGAUGGCGAAAUGGUGGUGAUGACGGGGGUGGUGGUUGCGGUUGCGGUGGUUGUCCCUGGAGGUGGCAGGGGAAAAGGGAGGUGUGGUGGUGAUAGUCUGUUACGGUAGAUACUAGAGAGAAAGGUAGAGGGAUGAUUUGGUAAUGUGUGUGUAUAUUACUAAUAAUAAUAAUACUUGUGUUUUUAUUUUUUUAUUUACAUUUUCAAUAUAAGAAUGGAUUUUU